rnacentral:rRNA from 1 species
CGGGACCUCAGGUCAGGCGGGGCUACCCGCUGAGUUAAGC